UAGUCUGGUGCCAGCAGCCGCGGUAAUACGGGGGAUGCAAGCGUUAUCCGGAAUAAUUGGGCGUAAAGCGCCUGUAGGUUGUUUAAUAAGUCUGUUGUUAAAGACUAGGGCUUAACCCUAGAAGAGCAGUGGAAACUACUAGACUAGAGUAUGGCAGGGGUAGAGAGAAUUUCUAGUGUAGCGGUGAAAUGCGUAGAUAUUAGAAAGAAUACCGGUGGCGAAGGCGCUCUACUGGACUAUUACUGACACUCAGAGGCGAAAGCUAGGGUAGCAAAAGGGAUUAGAUACCCCUGUAGUCCUAGCCGUAAACGAUGGAUACUAGAUGUUGUGAUUUAUUUACAGUGUCGUAGCUAACGCGUUAAGUAUCCCGCCUGGGGAGUACGCUCGCAAGGGUGAAACUCAAAGGAAUUGACGGGGGCCCGCACAAGCGGUGGAGCAUGUGGUUUAAUUCGAUGCAACGCGAAGAACCUUACCAGGGUUUGACAUACUACAAAUUCUUUAGAAAUCGAGAAGUACCUUCGGGGAUGUAGAUACAGGUGGUGCAUGGCCGUUCUU
rnacentral:rRNA from 1 species